ACCAGGGUUCGAUUCGAGCGCAGCGAGAAAGCGUUGCCGCAGGCAACGGCCCGAAGGGCGAAGCGCGCAGCGCUGAGUAAUCUCUCCCCCACCACCA
rnacentral:sRNA from 3 species